rnacentral:misc_RNA from 1 species
CGUGCAUGCUGUUAAGCGUAUAAGGGGGCGUCGCGCAGCGGGCAGGUAACCUGUGCUGCAGCGGCCGAUUCUCGUCUGCGUGGGAACAUGGUUAACUGGCUGUGCGUGGCACUAGCAGUCGCCACCCUGGUAGCUUGGUACAUAUGGCGCAAAAAGAAAUUCUCCUACCUCGCGAAGAUUGGUGUGCCUGGCCCUGAACCGAGCUUCAUAUUUGGAAACCUCCUGGACAUCAAAAGACGGGGUGCCACAGCAUGCUUUGGAGAAUGGAUAAAGAAAUACGGAAGUAUUUGCGGGUUUUACAACGGAGCCAUCCCCUUUCUUCUCGUCGCUGACGUAGACCUGCUGAAGAAGGUGGAACUUGAAGACUCCCACGAAUUCAUGGAACGAGGGAAUGUCUUCGAGAUCGAGCCAUUGCCCGAUUUUCGUCACAAGAUGAUCAUCACUGCCCCCGUGAGUCGCUGGCGGGCGAUGAGGGCGGUGCUCAGUCCGGCCUUCACCACUAACAAGUUGUCGAAGAUCUUCGUCAUCAUGGACAAGUGCAGUGACACCAUGAUGGAAAAGCUCGAAGAGAAGUGGACAGGCAGCCCAUCCGUGGAGAUGACAUCGGUCUUCCGACGAGCCACCAUCGACACCAUGUUCAAGGCGGGCUACGGUGUCGACCUCAAGGUUCAAGAUAGCCCGCCCGGGGGAUUCUUCGACGAGCUGGGCACGGGCGCGGAGCAGCUGUUGCGCACCGUGCCCAUCUGCGGCGUCAGCUUCCUCGCCAACUGCUUCCCGGAGUUCUACCACUUCUGGUACUUGCUAUCUUGGCUGACGUCCCGGCUCGCGAUGCCCUUCUUCAUGCUGACUACUUUGCUCAUCAGCCCGGUCUUGAAUGAAAGGAAGGCACUGAAUUUGCGUGAAAAGGCCGACGUGUUGCAACUGCUGCUGAAUAAGGAGAGCAGGGGGCAGCUAUCCCUACACGAAGACCACGGUUUUGACGGACAAACAAAGCUAGCGCUAACCAAGGACGAAGUCGUGGCGAACUCUGCAUUUUACCUCAUUGCUGGUAUGGAAGCUACCCCCAACACAAUGGGCAUGACUCUGCACAUCGUUGCACGCCACCCAGAGGUCCAGGACAAACUCCGUGCGGAGGUACUGCGUAUCCUCAAGAGAGAUGGCACGUUUACGCAAAAGAACGUCUCGGAAAUGCGCUACCUGGACAUGGUUUUGAAGGAAAGCAUGCGAUUCUACCCUGGAGUAGUGGGUUUCGUGAGUCGACAACCUGAAAGGGACUACGAAUUUAAUGGCAUGAGAAUCCCGAGAGGCCUCAGCAUCAUGGCAGCAGUGUCCUGCAUCCACCAGGACCCAGAACUGUGGCCGGAGCCAGACAAGUUUGACCCCGAAAGGUUCAACCCGGAGAACAAACCGAACAUCCACCCGAUCAGUUUCCAGCCGUUCGGAAAAGGCCCCAGGGCAUGCCUAGGGUGAAGUUUCACUCUCCUCAAGAUGAAGAUUAUUCUGUGUAAAGUUCUCGCCAGAUUCAAGCUUUCUGUGGAUGAGGAGCACCACGAGAAUGGGCUGCAGCUGAGCUCUGCUUUCAUUGCUUCUUUCGUCCCAAAUGGAGUCUGGAUGAAGCUGGAGAAGUCAG